rnacentral:rRNA from 1 species
GGGAUAACUUCGGGAAACCGGAGCUAAUACCGGAUGAUUAUUUUGAACCGCAUGGUUCAAAAGUGAAAGACGGUCUUGCUGUCACUUAUAGAUGGAUCCGCGCUGCAUUAGCUAGUUGGUAAGGUAACGGCUUACCAAGGCAACGAUGCAUAGCCGACCUGAGAGGGUGAUCGGCCACACUGGAACUGAGACACGGUCCAG